rnacentral:tRNA from 1 species
GCCUUCGUGGUGUAAUGGUCAGCACACUCGGCGCGUAUUCAAGAGGUCAUAGGUUCGAAUCCCGGCGAGGGCA